AUGACAAAGAAAAGAAGGAACUAGCGUUAUGCCAAAAAGGGCCAUGGCCACGUGCUGUCUAUUCACUGCAUGAACUGUGCACAAUGCGUGCCUGACAACAAGGCCAUUAAGAAAUUCAUCAUUUGAAACACAGUGGAGGCCGCAGCAGUCAGGGACAUUUCUGAAGCCAGAGUCUUCCAUGCCUAUGUGCUUCCCAAGCUGUAAGUGAAGCUAUAUUCCUGUGUGAGUGUGCAAUUCACAGCAAAGUAGUCAGGAACAGAUCUAGUGAAGCCAGCAAGGACCAAACACCCCCAUCCUGAUUUAGACCUUCACGUGCUGCCUCACGACCCCCACCAAAGCCCAUGUAA
rnacentral:lncRNA from 1 species